rnacentral:pre_miRNA from 1 species
UACUCUCUUUCGGUCUCUUUCAAUUAUAAGUAGUAGUGCCGCAGGUAACCAAUCAGAAUGGGUUUACCUACUGCCUUCUGCUUAAAAUUGAAAUAUUGAUGACCAUAAU